rnacentral:rRNA from 1 species
AACGAACGCUGGCGGCAGGCUUAACACAUGCAAGUCGAACGCCCCGCAAGGGGAGUGGCAGACGGGUGAGUAACGCGUGGGAAUCUACCCAACCCUGCGGAAUAGCUCUGGGAAACUGGAAUUAAUACCGCAUACGCCCUACGGGGGAAAGAUUUAUCGGGGAUGGAUGAGCCCGCGUUGGAUUAGCUAGUUGGUGGGGUAAAGGCCUACCAAGGCGACGAUCCAUAGCUGGUCUGAGAGGAUGAUCAGCCACAUUGGGACUGAGACACGGCCCAAACUCCUACGGGAGGCAGCAGUGGGGAAUAUUGGACAAUGGGCGCAAGCCUGAUCCAGCCAUGCCGCGUGAGUGAUGAAGGCCUUAGGGUUGUAAAGCUCUUUCACCGGUGAAGAUAAUGACGGUAACCGGAGAAGAAGCCCCGGCUAACUUCGUGCCAGCAGCCGCGGUAAAAC